rnacentral:tRNA from 1 species
GCGGUUGUGGCGGAAUGGCAGACGCACCAGCUUGAGGGGCUGGCGGUUUCACGACCGUGGAGGUUCGAGUCCUCUCAGCCGCA